UGGGGAAUAUUGCACAAUGGGCGCAAGCCUGAUGCAGCCAUGCCGCGUGUAUGAAGAAGGCCUUCGGGUUGUAAAGUACUUUCAGCGGGGAGGAAGGGAGUAAAGUUAAUACCUUUGCUCAUUGACGUUACCCGCAGAAGAAGCACCGGCUAACUCCGUGCCAGCAGCCGCGGUAAUACGGAGGGUGCAAGCGUUAAUCGGAAUUACUGGGCGUAAAGCGCACGCAGGCGGUUUGUUAAGUCAGAUGUGAAAUCCCCGGGCUCAACCUGGGAACUGCAUCUGAUACUGGCAAGCUUGAGUCUCGUAGAGGGGGGUAGAAUUCCAGGUGUAGCGGUGAAAUGCGUAGAGAUCUGGAGGAAUACCGGUGGCGAAGGCGGCCCCCUGGACAAAGACUGACGCUCAGGUGCGAAAGAGUGGGGAGCAAACAGG
rnacentral:rRNA from 1 species